rnacentral:rRNA from 1 species
GUGGAUUAGUGGCGAACGGGUGAGUAACACGUGGGCAAUCUGCCCUUCACUCUGGGACAAGCCCUGGAAACGGGGUCUAAUACCGGAUAACACUCUGUCCCGCAUGGGACGGGGUUAAAAGCUCCGGCGGUGAAGGAUGAGCCCGCGGCCUAUCAGCUUGUUGGUGGGGUAAUGGCCUACCAAGGCGACGACGGGUAGCCGGCCUGAGAGGGCGACCGGCCACACUGGGACUGAGACACGGCCCAGACUCCUACGGGAGGCAGCAGUGGGGAAUAUUGCACAAUGGGCGAAAGCCUGAUGCAGCGACGCCGCGUGAGGGAUGACGGCCUUCGGGUUGUAAACCUCUUUCAGCAGGGAAGAAGCGAAAGUGACGGUACCUGCAGAAGAAGCGCCGGCUAACUACGUGCCAGCAGCCGCGGUAAUACGUAGGGCGCAAGCGUUGUCCGGAAUUAUUGGGCGUAAAGAGCUCGUAGGCGGCUUGUCACGUCGGAUGUGAAAGCCCGGGGCUUAACCCCGGGUCUGCAUUCGAUACGGGCUAGCUAGAGUGUGGUAGGGGAGAUCGGAAUUCCUGGUGUAGCGGUGAAAUGCGCAGAUAUCAGGAGGAACACCGGUGGCGAAGGCGGAUCUCUGGGCCAUUACUGACGCUGAGGAGCGAAAGCGUGGGGAGCGAACAGGAUUAGAUACCCUGGUAGUCCACGCCGUAAACGUUGGGAACUAGGUGUUGGCGACAUUCCACGUCGUCGGUGCCGCAGCUAACGCAUUAAGUUCCCCGCCUGGGGAGUACGGCCGCAAGGCUAAAACUCAAAGGAAUUGA